rnacentral:tRNA from 1 species
UCCGGCGUGGUCUAGUGGCUAGGAUACCUGGCUCUCACCCAGGAGGCCCCGGUUCGAUUCCCGGCGUCGGAA